UGUAAAAAUCAUUCUUCCUCUGCUCAGACUACAUCUACAACCCUAUCGAGGCCCGAAGGCAAAAGGCUGCUCGUGUGAGGGGCCAUAGGGUGAAAGGCACGAAUCCAAGGGGCCAUAAGGCAACCAACACCCUUGGGGUCAGUGGAAAAGAGGCCCAUAGCUGCCACAGUCCUGCGUCAUCAAGGAUAUUGGCAAUGGAGGAUGUUCACACCAGUCCAUGCCCUCAGUCCAUGGAUGAUGUCAGCACUGCA